UACGUAGGUGGCAAGCGUUUGUCCGGAUUUACUGGGCGUAAAGGGCGUGCAGGCGGUUUGUUAAGUGCAGGGUGAAAGCUCCCGGCUCAACUGGGAGAGGUCCUUGCAUACUGGCAAACUCGAGGGAGGCAGAGGAAAGUGGAAUUCCCGGUGUAGUGGUGAUAUGCGUAGAUAUCGGGAGGAACACCGGUGGCGAAGGCGGGUCUCUGGGCCGAUACUGACGCUGAGGAGCGAAAGCGUGGGGAGCGAACAGG
rnacentral:rRNA from 1 species